rnacentral:rRNA from 1 species
GAUGAAUGCUGGCGGCGUGCCUAACACAUGCAAGUCGAGCGGUAACAGGAGUAGUUUACUACUUGCUGACGAGCGGCGGACGGCUGAGUAACGCGUGGGAACGUGCCCCAAAGUGAGGAAUAACUGCCCGAAAGGGUAGCUAAUACCGCAUAUGAUCUUCGGAUUAAAGGAUUUAUCCGCUUUGGGAGCGGCCCGCGUCGGAUUAGGUAGUUGGUGAGGUAAUGGCUCACCAAGCCCACGAUCCGUAGCUGGUCUGAGAGGAUGAUCAGCCAGACUGGAACUGAGACACGGUCCAGACUCCUACGGGAGGCAGCAGUGAGGAAUCUUCCACAAUGGGCGAAAGCCUGAUGGAGCAACGCCGCGUGCAGGAUGAAGGCCUUCGGGUCGUAAACUGCUUUUAUAAGUGAAGAAUAUGACGGUAGCUUAUGAAUAAGCACCGGCUAACUACGUGCCAGCCGCCGCCGUAAUAC